UGACGGCUUCUGUUAUAUUACAGCAGCCUGAGUUGGUCACCGGACAAGCUAGAGUUCCGGCUAUGUUUGUACUUGGAGACUCAUUGGUCGAUGCUGGGAACAACAACUUUAUACAAACUCUAGCUCGAGCCAAUUUCCUUCCUUAUGGCAUCGAUUUGAACUUCCGUCCUACUGGCAGAUUUAGCAACGGCCUGACUUUCAUUGAUCUGCUAGGUAAAAUUUCAAACACUUGAACGAAGUCAUUUGGUUAAGAUUCAUCAUGUCUUAGUAUUAGCUUAUCUUACUGAAAACACAAAUUGUUUUGUAAAAACAGCUCAGUUGUUACAAAUUCCAUCGCCUCCUGCCUUUGCGGAUCCAACCACAUCAGGCAGUAGAAUCCUCCAAGGAGUUAAUUACGCGUCUGCAGCUGCUGGCAUCCUCGAUGAAUCAGGCUUCAACUAUGUAUUUUUUUAGUUGUGUCGUCAGUUUUAAAAUAUAUGAUAGUGUUGAAUGGAUAGAUGAAUGAUGGUGUGGUGUGCAGGGUGGAAGAUUCAGCCUGAGCCAGCAAAUGGUGAAUCUAGAGACGACACUAAGCCAACUGAGAACGAUGAUGAGCCCCCAAAAUUUUACGGAUUACUUGGCAAGAUCACUUGUGGUUCUCGUUUUUGGGAGCAAUGAUUAUAUCAACAACUACCUUAUGCCUAAUCUCUACUCCUCCAGCAUCAGAUACACACCGCCUGUGUUUGCCAAUCUACUUCUCAGUCAAUACGCUCGUCAACUUCUUGUAUGUUACAUCAAAUAUUCAUAUGGUAUUAUCCUUUAAAUCAAUCUUAUGAUAGUCUUUUGAAUCUAUGUGUAGACUCUGUACGGCCUAGGUCUAAGAAAGAUAUUUAUACCUGGAGUAGCACCACUAGGCUGCAUACCAAACCAACGAGCCAGAGGUGUUUCGCCACCUGAUAGAUGUGUUGACAGUGUGAAUCAGAUUCUAGGCACAUUUAACCAAGGGUUAAGGUCACUUGUUGACCAGCUGAACCAGCGAUUACCUGGAGCCAUAUAUGUAUACGGCAACACAUAUAGCGCAAUUGGUGAUAUCUUAAACAACCCAGCUGCUUACGGUAAACUUCCUCUUAGAUUAUAUGGCUGUUAAAGGGAUUUUCUUCUAUGCUUUCUACUUUGAUCAAACAGAGUUUGUAUGGUACAGG
rnacentral:lncRNA from 1 species